rnacentral:lncRNA from 1 species
CUCCACUGCAGCACUCAGGCCACACCAAUGGCCUUGGGAGGGGCCUGCUAGGGCUUCACUUCCCUGUCAGGGAGGGUCCAUCCAGGCUGGAGGGCAGGCAGACCCACAGACAGCGCUGGAGUCUCAGCUCGGCCGGUCACUGGUGUCCUGGGGAGAGGCAGAGGGCUUCCAGCCAGGCUGUUCCUGAAGGUGAUCCAGUGGGUGCGUCAGGGGCUCCAAGACCCUCUGCCGUCCCUCGCCCGGUGGUCCGCGACGCUCGCCUGCAGCGGAAGCGCGGCGUGGCCCUCGCCGCUCAGUCACUCCCCCGCGAGGGCUAGGGCGCCUACAUCCCGGAGCGGCCCCUGGCCCCCGCCCCACGUCCGGACCCCCGCCCUCCUAGCCGACUGCCCCAGCGCGCGCGGGACCCGGGAGAACCCCUGCGCUUGGUCCGGGGCCUCCCGCCCCCGCCGCCGGCGCGGCCCCCUC